AUGCUUGCUUUGGCAGCAUAUAUACCAAAAAUUGUAAAAAUAGAGAGAAGAUUUGAGUGACCCCUGCACAAGGAUGGCACACAAAUUCACAAAACAUUCCAUACUAAA